rnacentral:rRNA from 1 species
GCGGACGGGUGAGUAACGCGUAAGAAUCUACCUUUAGGAGGGGGACAACAGUUGGAAACGACUGCUAAUUCCCCAUAUGCUGAGGAGUGAAAUGGUGAAUAACCGCCUAAAGAUGAGCUUGCGUCUGAUUAGCUAGUUGGUAAGGUAAUAGCUUACCAAGGCGAUGAUCAGUAGCUGGUCUGAGAGGAUGAUCAGCCACACUGGGACUGAGACACGGCCCAGACUCCUACGGGAGGCAGCAGUGAGGAAUUUUCCGCAAUGGGCGAAAGCCUGACGGAGCAAUACCGCGUGGAGGAUGACGGCCUGUGGGUCUUAAACUCCUUUUCUUAGAGAAGAAAUUCUGACGGUAUCUAAGGAAUAAGCAUCGGCUAACUCCGUGCCAGCAGCCGCGGUAAUACGGGGGAUGCAAGCGUUAUCCGGAAUGAUUGGGCGUAAAGCGUCUGUAGGUGGCUUCCCAAGUCAACUGUCAAAAAUCAGGGCCUAACCUUGAGCAGGCAGUUGAAACUAUGAAGCUUGAGUUAGGUAGGGGCAGAGGGAAUUCCUAGUGUAGCGGUGAAAUGCGUAGAUAUUAGGAAGAACACCAAUCGCGAAAGCGCUCUGCUGGGCCAUGACUGACAUUGAGAGACGAAAGCUAAGGGAGCAAAUGGGAUUAGAUACCCCAGUAGUCUUAGCCGUAAACGAUGGAUACUAAGUUCUGGUCGAUUCAAAACCGUUCAGUUCUGUAGCUAACGCGUCAAGUAUCCCG